rnacentral:rRNA from 1 species
GGGCACCACCAGGAGUGGAGCCUGCGGCUUAAUUUGACUCAACACGGGGAAGCUUACCCGGUCCGGACACUUUGACGAUUGACAGAUUGAGAGCUCUUUCUUGAUAAAGUGGUUGGUGGUGCAUGGCCGUUCUUAGUUCGUGGAGUGAUUUGUCUGGUUAAUUCCGAUAACGAACGAGACUCUAGCUUACUAAAUAGUCCGUGCGGCUGCGGCCGACACGGUGUUACUUCUUAGAAGGAUUUAUGGCGGUUCAGUCAUAAGAAAGAGAGCAAUAACAGGUCUGUGAUGCCCUUAGAUGUCCGGGGCCGCAAAAGCGCUACACUGGAGCCCACAGUGAGCGUGCUACUUGCGUCGAAAGGCGUGAGGAAUCUCGUAAGCUUCUCCGUAUCUGGGAUUGCGGCAUGUAAUUGUGCCGCGUGAACGCGGAAUCCCGAGUAAGUGCCAAUCAUCAUUUCGCAUUGAUUACGUCCCUGCCCUUUGUACACACCGCCCGUCGCUACUACCGAUUGACUCGUCCAGUGAGGCAUCGGGACGGGCGCGGUGAGCUGUCUUCGGAUGGCGCGCCGUGCCUGAAACUUUGCCAAACUGUCCGAGUUAGAGGAAGUAAAAGU